GGGCGCAUAGUUUAGUGGUAAAACGCUGCAUUCACAUUGCAGAGUCCGCAGGUUCGAUCCCUGCUGCGCCCA
rnacentral:tRNA from 4 species